CGCGUAGGCGGUCUCUUAAGUCAGAUGUGAAAGCCCGGGGCUUAACCCCGGAAGUGCAUUUGAAACUAAGGGACUUGAGUAUGGGAGAGGGAAGUGGAAUUCCUGGUGUAGAGGUGAAAUUCGUAGAUAUCAGGAGGAACACCGGUGGCGAAGGCGACUUCCUGGACCAAUACUGACGCUGAUGCGCGAAGGCGUGGGGAGCAAACAGGAUUAGAUACCCUGGUAGUCC
rnacentral:rRNA from 1 species